rnacentral:rRNA from 1 species
CCUACGGGAGGCAGCAGUGGGGAAUAUUGCACAAUGGGCGAAAGCCUGAUGCAGCGACGCCGCGUGAGGGAUGACGGCCUUCGGGUUGUAAACCUCUUUCAGCAGGGAAGAAGCGAAAGUGACGGUACCUGCAGAAGAAGCGCCGGCUAACUACGUGCCAGCAGCCGCGGUAAUACGUAGGGCGCAAGCGUUGUCCGGAAUUAUUGGGCGUAAAGAGCUCGUAGGCGGCUUGUCACGUCGGUUGUGAAAGCCCGGGGCUUAACCCCGGGUCUGCAGUCGAUACGGGCAGGCUAGAGUGUGGUAGGGGAGAUCGGAAUUCCUGGUGUAGCGGUGAAAUGCGCAGAUAUCAGGAGGAACACCGGUGGCGAAGGCGGAUCUCUGGGCCAUUACUGACGCUGAGGAGCGAAAGCGUGGGGAGCGAACAGGAUUAGAUACCCUGGUAGUCCACGCCGUAAACGGUGGGAACUAGGUGUUGGCGACAUUCCACGUCGUCGGUGCCGCAGCUAACGCAUUAAGUUCCCCGCCUGGGGAGUACGGCCGCAAGGCUAAAACNCAAANANAUGAGNGNGAGAGNGCGAGCGACACGAGGAGAG